rnacentral:tRNA from 1 species
GAACUAAUUGUUUGUGUUUUGAAAACACAAUAGGGGUUUUGGCCCAUAGUUUUU